GAGGAAUAUUGGGCAAUGCCCGCAAGGGUGACCCAGCAACGCCGCGUGGAGGAUGAAUGUCGUAAGAUUGUAAACUCCUGUUAGAGGGGAAGAAUAGUACCGGUUGGACCGGUAUAUGACUGUACCCUCAGAGAAAGCCCCGGCUAACUACGUGCCAGCAGCCGCGGUAAUACGUAGGGGGCAAGCGUUGUCCGGAUUUACUGGGUGUAAAGGGCGCGCAGGCGGGAUAAAAAGUCAGUGGUGAAAUCCUACAGCUUAACUGUAGAACUGCCUUUUAUACUUUUAUUCUUGAGUUCGGGAGAGAGAGACGGAAUUCCAGGUGUAGUGGUGAAAUACGUAGAUAUCUGGAAGAACACCAGUUGCGAAGGCGGUCUCUUGAUCCGACACUGACGCUGAGGCGCGAAAGCGUGGGGAGCAAACA
rnacentral:rRNA from 1 species